AGAGUGAACGCUGGCGGCAGGCCUAACACAUGCAAGUCGAACGGCAGCACAGCCCCGCAAGGGGUGGGUGGCGAGUGGCGGACGGGUGAGGAAUACAUCGGAAUCUACCCUGUCGUGGGGGAUAACGUAGGGAAACUUACGCUAAUACCGCAUACGACCCACGGGUGAAAGCGGCGGACCGCAAGGCGUCGCGCGAUUGGAUGAGCCGAUGUCCGAUUAGCUAGUUGGCGGGGUAAAGCCCACCAAGGCGACGAUCGGUAGCUGGUCUGAGAGGAUGAUCAGCCACACUGGAACUGAGACACGGUCCAGACUCCUACGGGAGCAGCAGUGGGAAUAUGGACAAUGGGCGCAAGCCUGAUCCAGCCAUGCCGCGUGUGUGAAAGAAGGCCCUGGUUGUAAAGUACGAC
rnacentral:rRNA from 1 species